CAAAAAAAAAAAAAAUCUGAUCUCUCUCUCUCCCCCCGGCGAAGUACUCAUUCUCUCCACCAUCACAUCGGCAACUGGAAUUGAAUCUCCUACGUACGAUGCCGUUUCGCGACUGGAUCUCUGACGCACGAAUUGGAUCUCCGAUGCAUGACGCCGACUGGAACCAAAACUCUGAUUCUCUCUUCUUCAUCUCAACGCCACCGGCCAUGUCUCCGUCUCAGGCUCCCUCGAUGACUCCCUCAGAUUCCUCCAUCUCAGAAAGUUGAAGAAGCUCGUGUUUUAGUUCAGCAAUGGUCGCUGCCAUUGAUUAGAUCUCCAAGCUCAAAUCUGAGGUAGCCACUCUCAGCCAAAUCAAGUAUCUCUAUCUCCGCCUCCGAUCCUUUCAAAUUUUUCGUUUCGUUUCCGAUUGCCAUUUGAACUGAGCUUCAUUUGUUUUUAUGGUGUAACGAGAAUGAGAAGAAUAGAUUCAUCAACCUCUUCUCUCACUAUCUCAGGUGGGAGUCCACUUUCUGCUCUUUGGAGGAGUGUGAUGGUUGCACCUUCAACUAUUGGUGACUUGCAAAUGAUAGUGAAAGUGUGUUAUCCAAGUUUAGAGUCUCUCUCUGUCAAGCUCGCAGGUUUGCUCUAUAACAUGUUGGGAAUUGUUUCGUAUUACAUGAAUUUUACAAACUGUUGACUAGUGUCUUGUUCUAGAAAUACUUAGAAGUGUGAUCAACUCUGUCAUAUUACACCAAGUUGGUGGAUUUCAAGCUUUAGUUUGCUUUGUUUUGAUUUCUCGGGCUCUAUAUGUGCAAAAUUACUUAUACUUGAUUUCGGGCUAGUUUGGGAUUGCUGUGACUUUUAAAAAAAACUGCUGUUGCUGUGUUGUGAGAAUAAUCCGCUGUGAAUUAAAACAGUUUCAUGUUUGGUAAAUAAUAUUUUUAAAAGUGCUGUCACUACAUAAAACAACUGCAGAGUGUGUUUUGAUCCACAGCAGCUUCUAAAAGCAACCUCUGGGCUGCUUCUAAAAUCUGCUGCCAGUGACCUAUAACUUUCAAUUAAAGCUGCUUUUUAUUUAUUUACCAAACACAAUAAAAUCAAAAAUUUUGAACAAAAGCUGAUUUUUUUAAAAGCGAAGCAAUCCCAAACGGGGCCUUCAUAUGUAUCAAGAUUGAUUCAGGCUAUUGGUAGCUGUCUAAAACUGUUAUAGUAAUUUUUGAACACAGCGAUAGUAGCUUUCUAUCCCUAUAUUAGUAUAUUUUUAAUCUGAUGUCAGUAGCUUUUUUGUUUUCAUUUUGAUUGGUUUCGAGUGGUUCAAUAGCUUACUAAAUUGGAAAAGCAUGGUUCUGAAUGAAAUUCAAUUUCUAUCUUGUUGAUAUUUUGUAUCAUUAGCAUUUCUUGUUUGGAAUUUGUGUUACACUAUCAACAUGUAUAAUAAGCUGGUUUUGUGUAAUCAGUAUUUAUGUCAGUAGCUUUCUAUUACGGGUCCAAUAGCUUUUGACAUGUGUUAUAGUAGCUUUAUAUACCUAUGUCAAUAGAUUUUUUUACUGGUCCAGUAGCUUUGUACAUGUUUUACAGUUGCUUUCUACACCUGUGUCAAUAGCUUUUUAUUACUGGUCCAGUAACUUUGUACGUGUGUUAUAGUAGCUUUCUGUAUGAAAUUAGCUUUUUAGAUUGCAUAUUUUUUAUUGCUGUUUUUAGUUUUCAUUUCAAAUACUAAUAUUUUGUUGUAUCAUUGUUAUUGCAAAAUUCUUCCCCUUUGCAUGUGUAGUAGUAGAUUUUGAAAAUCAUGUGAAUUUGGAUAUUGAAGCCUCCAUUGACCAAGAGAUUAUUCGGCCAACCAAGAAAUAUUGAAAUGAAGUCUCGUGCGGAAGGUGGCAAAAUAAUGCCUAUGGGUUUAGAGCGUCACCAUUGAAAAAUGACAGUAGCAUUACAACAUUGACAGUAGCUUUAUACAACUAUUGUAAUAGAUUUUCAUAACUAUGGUAAUGGCUUUUGACAACUAUGGAAGUUGCUUUUUACAUAGUUAUAUCAUUAUUGAACCCUGCAUACUUUUUAUACCAUUGAAUAUGUUUCUUUUUCUCUAUGGUAGUAGCAUUUUUAUUUUGGUUGUAUCCUUUACAUUUCCACAACUUUGUUAGUCUCUAAGAAUAGCUUUCUCAAUCUCUAGGAGUAGUUUUUGUUCUACUUUGUUAUAGCUUUCUCAAUCUCUAUGAGUAGUUUUUGUUCUACUUGGUUAUAGCUUUUGGCAUUGAUGAGAGUAGCUUUUGAUGAUGGUGUGAGUAGCUUUUGUUACUAGUGAGAGUAGUUUUUUGGUGUUGAUGACAGUAGUUUUUAUUGUUGAUGACAGUAACUUUUGGUGUUUGUAACAGUAACUUUUGGUGUUUGUAACAGUAGCUUUUGUUGGUGAGUAGCUUUUGUUACUAGUGAGAGUAGUUUUUUGGUGUUGAUGACAGUAGUUUUUAUUGUUGAUGACAGUAACUUUUGGUGUUUGUAACAGUAACUUUUGGUGUUUGUAACAGUAGCUUUUGUUGGUGGGGAUAGUAGCUUUUGGUUUUGAGGAGUGUAGCUUUUGUUGGUGACAGUAGCUUUUUCUGACCUCGCCAGAGUAGCUUUUGUGACCUCGCCGGAGGUUGCCGGAAAUUUUAUCAGAGUAGCUUUUAUUGCUAGUGACAGUAGCUUUUGUGGUCGCCGGAGUUCGCCAGAAGUUAAUCGGAGGUCCACCAGAAGUUGGCUGGAGGUCGGGCGACGGCUGGAGACCCUUCAAAGUUGGCCCGAGGUCGACCGGAGACCCGCCGGAGUUGGUCGGAAACCUCGUCGGAGAUGAUAGAGAGAAUGAUUGUUGACUUUUUACUCUAGUGGCAUUUAUGUAGAUAUGUUUAUUUUUUAUAUCCAAAAUUUAACACCUUUUUAAUCUAGUGGCCUUAUGACGGAAAAAAAUAGUUGGUGACCUUAUGGCUAAAAAAACAUUCAAAAAUGCACUUAU